ensembl:lncRNA
CCUCUCCAUUCCCCUGUCCAUCCCUCUUUCCAUUCCCAUCUCCACUCUUCUCCUCUUCUCUGCUGGAGAGUGGGGUGCAGACUGGGGGGGUCGUGGGGGCGGUACCCCAACACUUUGAAGGGGCUCUCUCCUCCCCCCUCGGGUGUCAGCGAGGUGUUUAGGAGGGUCGUGGGAGUGAGAGGGCUGGGGGCGAGAAAGAGACACUUUAGCCACACCUCCUUUGAGAGUUGUGGUGCUCCGCCCCUUCUCUUUCUUGUUGGUCUCCUCGGUUUUGACCUUGGUGACCUUGGUUGGUUUAGGAGCUGAAACAUCUUUCUUCUUGGACGCCGUGGCUGCAGAGUCUCCGGUCUUCUUCUUCACCUUUCCCCCAGUCUCCUUCCUGCUCUUCUCUGACUGGCCCUUGCCAGACGCAGUGGGAGGGGUUUUUCCAGACAACCCUGCAGCCUUAUUGGUUGAAACUUUGGUGGUGGGGGCUUUGCUGGGGGUCAGACUGGGGAGGUCAUCCAUCGGCUCAUCCCUGACGGGGGUGGCAUCACCUCUGUCCACUGAUUGGUUGGCUGACUCUGGCUCCUCCCCGCUGUUCUUCUUCUUCUUCAGUUUCUUUGGUUUCAGAGCCUUCGCCCCCCCCUGCGCGCGCUCCUUCCCUGCGUCCCCCCGGCCAGAGGCAGCAGGCAGAGCGGCCGGGGCUUGGUGGGUCCUGUGAGGGCCUGGGGGGCCACCCCUCUCCCCCCUCUUCCCCCGUCCUGGGGGGGAGUAGUCUCUUGGAGGAGGGCUGAGGCGAUCCCUCUCCCUGCUCGCCCGGCCGCCGCGGUGAUGGUGGUGCACAGAGGAAUGCUGGGUACUGUAGUCUUUGUAGUACUUGUUAUACCAGUCACGGUACUCUCUCUCCCACUGCCUGUAGCUGUCCCUCUCCCACCUCUCCCGUCCCCCCGGGGACAGGUCUGGACGACCUUUGGGUUCACAGGGGGGCGGCUCCCGAGGGGGGGGCUUAUGGUGACCUCUGACCCCCCCUGGAGUUCUGCUCCGCCUGUACCCCCCCGGGGAACGAGAUCGUGG